CAAAACGAGGAAAGAUUUGACUGAUUGCAACCUCGACUUCUGUUUUCAAAAACAGUAACACUUUGAUUUUUAAGUGUUUUAAAAUGCUAAAGCAGUAUAC
rnacentral:ncRNA from 1 species